CAUUUAUCUGACGACGAAGAGACAGCCCAUUUAUCUAACCAACCCUGAUCUGCCGUAUUCCCACCGCCGCCGGCAGGCAAGCGCCUCCCGCGGCGACCGCUAGCCGCUCCACCCACCGCCACAGCGCGCCUCCUUUCCUACUACGGCCGCGCCCCAGCAUUUCCACCCCGCUCGCGGCGCCCCGACGAUCUGGAUAAGCGACGGCUAACAUUCACCAUCCCGAAGAUCUGGAUAAGCACCAUGGUGCAAGUAUGUUGGCUUGAGAAGCAUCAGAACUAAAGGUUGAAUAUAAGCAAGUGUGAUUCCAACAACUACGAUAUUCUGUGAGGUCGACCUGGUGUCAUACUACUUAAUUAACUCUUGUGUGCCACCAUACCCCUGGUCGCAGUGCCCAUGACUUCAGUCCUAGCAUGUCGCAUGCCACAGCUUCUGCCACCUCACUAUCUUCAACUUGUUGGAGUACUGGCCAACCUCAUGGAACCACAGCAUGGUUCUUCCAUCCCACCCUUAUCUUCUCAAGGAAACACACAUCAGUAUUCUUCAUAUGGUGGUGGAUACCAGAGUGGUAGUACAACAAAAAAGAUUGAUAUCCCAAAUGGAAGAAAUCAUUAUCUUUUGAAAGAUUCAAGGACGUUCGAGGAGUGACUAGUACCAUUGAAGACUUUGCUGAGCGAGGCAAGAAACCUACUUUGAUCAUGUUGAACCCAUAUUUGCAUUACACUUAGAAUUAUUUUUCAUGCAUAAAGUAUUGUUUACUAGUAUUGCUAUUAAGUAAAUUAGCUAGGGUUUAGCUAUGCCCUAUGUGCUUGAUAUUGACACCCCUUUGACAUUCUUAUGCUAAGUAAAUUAGCUAGGGUUUCGCUAUGCUCUAUGUGCUUGAUAUUGACACCCUCCUUUGAUAAUACCGUUCCUUCACCAUGUAGUGGUCACAAAUAAAUGUGGGUCAUAUGUGCAAUUUAAUAGUAUUGCUUAGCCAUGCUAGUCGCAUAAAUCAUAGGACUUGGGAAGAAUUUUUGUUACUCAUAAAUGUUUUACAAAAACCUAAGGGUGUCACUAAUGCCCAUGGUAUGAUUCUGAAAAUAAGGUUAUAUAAAAUGGAGAUGAAGUGGAGAUUUAGUUAGGUGAUUGUGACUUUGACGAGAUAGUCAAAGAUGUUCGGUGGAUUAUAAAUUCUUUAUGUAUAGUAAAUGAGCAUGGUGGUUAUUGUAUUGGCGGAUAAAUGGAUCUUCAAUAAACUUGAAGCAAUUUGGAUUUAGUUAGGCGAUUGUAAUCUUGAACCAAAUUUCAUGGUGGAUUAUAAGCUUUUGAUGCAUUUAUUUAGUUCGUUGUGAUCUUGAGGAGAUAGUCAAAGAUGUUCGGUGCAUUAAUUAAUCUUGGACAAUUUGGAUUUAGUUAGGUGGUUGUGAUAUUGAACCGUAUUUCAUGAUGAAUUAUGAGAUUUUAGGUGGAUUUAGUUACGUGAUUUAAUCUUGAGAAGAUAGUCUAAAUUGUUGGGUUGAUUAUGAGAUUUUAGGUAUGGUAGAUGAGCAUGGUGAUUAUUAUACUGGUGGAUAAAUAGAUCUUUAAUUUUGUUUGGACCAUUUAGGAUUUAGUUAGGUGGUUUAGAUCUUAAACCAAAUUUCACGGUGGAUUAUGAGGUUUUGGUUGAAUUUAGUUAGGUGAUUGUGAUCUUGACGAGCUAGUAAAAGAUGUUUGGUGGAUUAUGUGAAUUUAGGUCUAGUAGGUGAGCAUGGUGGUUAUUAUAUCGGUGAAUAAGUAAUUUUUUAACAAACUUAAGAAAUUUUGGAUUUAGUUAGGCGAUUGUGAUCAUGAACUAAACUUCAUGGUGAAUUACGAUAUUUUAGAUGGAUUUAGUCAGUUGAUUGUAAUCUAGAAGAGAUACUCGAAGAUGUUCGAUGGAUUAAUUAUCCUUUAAUAAUUUGAAUUACGUUUGGCUAUUGUGAUUGAACCGAAUUUCACGAUGAUUUAUGUGAUUUUAGGUGGAUUUAAAUAUGUUAUUAUGAUCUUGAGAAGAUGUCAAAGAUGUUUGGUGGAUUUUAAGAUUUUAGGUCUAGUAUGUGAGCAUGGGGACUUAUAUUGGUGGAUGAAUAGACCUCUAAUUUAGCUUGAAACAAUUUGAAUUUAAUUAGAUGAUUGUGGCCUUUUAACCAAAUUCAUGGUGGAUUUUGAUGUUUAGGUUGGAUUUAGUUAGGUGAUUGUGAUCUUGACGAGAUAGUCAAAGAUGCUCGAUGGGUUACGUCAGAAUUUAUGCCUAGUCUAGUAAAUGAGCAUGGUGGUUAUUAUAUUGGUGGAUAAAUGGAUUUUUAGUAAACUUGGAGUAAUUUGGAUUUAGUUAGGCGAUUGUGAUCUUGAGGGGAUAGUCCAAGAUGUUCGGUGGAUUAAUUAAUAUUUUUUUGAACACAGUACAAGCGCAAGUGCUAUAUAGACGUGCAUACACUCGCCUCUAUGAACACACACACGCACACCCUACACCUAUGAGCAUCCCCGAGAGACUAAGCUGGCUUAUCAUCUUGAGAUUUUACGAAGUCACCGUAGGCGCCUCGUAGUCGACGAGAACAAUUUGGAUUUAGUUCGGUGAGUGUGAUAUUCAACUAAAUUUCUUGGUGAUUUAUUUGAUUUUAGGUGGAUUUAGUUAGGUGAUUGAGUCUUGAAAAGAUAGUCAAAAUGUUCGGUGGAUUAUGAGAUUUUAGGUAUGGUAAAUGAGCAAGGUGAUUAUUAUAUUAGUAGAUAAACAAAUAUUUAAUUUAGUUUGGAUCAAUUUAGAUUUAGGUAGGGAUUGUGAUCUUUUAAUCUAAUUUUACAAUGGAUUAUGAGGUUUUGGUUGGAUUUAGUUAGGUGCUUGUGAUCUUGACAAGGUAGUUAAAGAUAUUCGAUGGAUUAAUAUGUCUAGUAAGCGAGCAUGGUGGCUAUUACAUUGGUGGAUAAAUGGAUCUUUAAUAAGCUUGAAGAUAUUUGAAUUUAGUUAGGCGAUUGUGGUCUUGAACCAAAUUUUAUGGUGGAUUACGAGAUUUUAGCUGGAUUUGAUUAGUUGAUUGCGAUUUUGAGGAGAUAGUAAAAGAUGUUUGGUGGAUUAAUUAAUCUUGAAUAAUUUGGAUUUAGUUAGGUGAUUGUGAUUUUGAAGCAAAUUUCUCGGUGAUUUAUGAGAUUUUAGUUGGAUUUAGUUAGGUGAUUGUGUCUUCAAAAGGUAGUCAAGGACGUUCGGUGAUUAUGAUAUUUUAGGUGUAGUAGACGAGCAUGAUAAUUAUUAUAUUGGUGGAUAAAUAGAUAUUUAAUAUAGUUUGGAACAAUUUGGAUUUAGUAUGGUGAUUGUGAUUUUUAACCAAAUUUUAGGGUGGAUUAUGAGGUUUUGAUUAGAUUUAGUUAGGUGAUUGGGAUCUUGACGUGCUAGUAAAAGAUGUUCGGUAGAUUAUGUGAAUUUAGGUCUAAUAGGUGAGCAUCUUGAUUAUUAUAUUGGUGGAUAAAUAAAUUUUUUAUAAACUUGGAAAAAUUUGGAUUUAGUUAGGCAAUCGUGAUCUUGAACCAAUUUUAUGGUGGAUUGUGAUCUUGAGGAGAUAGUCAAAGAUAUUCGAUGUAUUAAUUAACUUGAACAAUUUGGAUUUAGUUAGGUGAUUCUGAUAUUGAACUAAAUUUCUCUGUGAUCUAUGAGGUUUUAGUUGGAUUUAGUUAGGUGAUUGUGUCUUCAGAAGAUAAUCAAAGAUGUUUGAUGGGUUAUGAGAUUAUAGGUCUAAUAAAUGAGCAUGGUGAUUAUUAUAUAGUUAGGUGAAUGUGAUUUGAUGAGCUAGUAAAUGAUGCUCGGUGAAUUAUUGUGAAUUUAGGUUUAGUAGGUGAGCAUGUUGAUUAUUAUAUUGAUGGAUAAAUAAAUCUUUAAUAAAUUUAAAACAAUUUGGAUUUAGUUAGACGAUUGUGACCUUGAACCAAAUUUCAUGGUGGAUGAUGAGAUUUUUGAUGGAUUAGUUAGUUGAUUGUGAUCUUCAAGAGAUAGUCAAAGAUGUUUUGUGGAUUAAUUAAUCUUGAACAACUUGGAUUUAGUUAAGUGGUUGCGAUACUGAACCGAAUUUCACGCUGGAUUAUGAGAUUGUAGGUGGAUUUAGUUAGGUGAUUGUGUCUUGAGAAUAUUGUCAUACAUGUUUGCUAGUCUGAGAUUUUAGAUUUAGUAGAUGGGAAUGGUGAUUAUUAUAUUGGUAGAUAAACAAAUCUUUAUUUUAGUUUGGAACAAUUUUGACUCAGUUAGGUGAUUGUUAUCUUUCAACCAAACUUACGGUGGAUUUUGAGAAUUUUUUGGAUUUAGUUAGGUGACUGAUCUUGACAAGAUAGUCAAAUAUGUUUGGUGAAUUAUGUUAAUUUAGGUCUAGUAAGUGAGCAUGGUGGUAAUUAUGUUGGUGGAUAGAUGGAUCUUCAGUAAAAAUGAAGCUUUUUGGAUGUAGUUAGGUGAUUGUGAUCUUGAACAAAUUUCACGGUGGAUUUACGAGAUUUUUAAUAGAUUUAGUUAGUAGAUUGUGAUCUUGGGGGAUGCCAAAGAUGUUCGGUGGAUUAUAAUCUUGAACAGUUUCGAUUUAGUUAGGUGAUUGCAAUAUUGAACCAAAUUUCUCGGUGAUUUAUGAUAUCUUAGUUGGAUUUAGUUAGAUGAUUGUGUCUUUAGAAGAUAGUCAAGGAUUUUCGGUGGAUUAGGAGAUUUUAGGUCCAGUAGAUGAGCAUGGCGAUUAUUAUAUUGGUGGAUAAACACAUAUUUAAUUUAGUUUGGAACAAUUUAGAUUUAGUUAGGUGAUUGUGAUAUUGAACCAAAUUUCUCUUUGAUUUAUGAGAUUUUAGUUGGAUUUAGCUAGGUGAUUGUGUCUUGAGAAGAUAGUCAAAGAUGUUUGGUGGAUUAUGAGAUUUUAGGUCUAAUAGAUGAGCAUGGUGAUUAUUAUAUUGGUGGAUAAAUAGAUAAACUGAUAUUUAAUUUAGUUUGCAAUUUGGAUUUAGUUAGGUGAUUGUGAUCCUUUAACUUAAUUUUACGAUGGAUUAUAAUGUUUUGGUUGGAUUUAGUUAGGUGAUUGUGAUUUUGACGAGCUAGUAAAAGAUUUUCGGUGGAUUAUGUGAAUUUAGGUCUAGUAGGUGAGCAUGUUGAUUAUUAUAUUGGUGGAUAAAUGGGUCUUUAGUAAACAUGGAGCAAUUUGGAUUUAGUUAGGCGAUUGUGAUGUACUACAAAUUUCAUGGUGGAGAUUUGCAAUGGAUUUAGUUGAUUGUGAUCUUGAGAAGAUAGUCAGAGAUGUUCGGUGGAUAAAUUAGUCUUGAACAAUUUGAAUAUAUUUAGGUGAUUGUGAUAUUGAACCAAAUUUCUCUUAUGAUUUAUGGGAUUUUAGUUGGAUUUAAUUAGGUGAUUGUAUCUUGAGAUGAUAAUCAAAUAUGUUUGGUGGAUUAUGAGAUUUUAGGUCUAGUGGAUGAGCAUGGUGAUUACUAUAUUGGUGGAUAAGCAUAUAUUUAAUUUAGCUUGGAGCAAUUUGGAUUUAGUCAGGUGAUUGGGAUCUUGACGAGCUAGUAAAAGAUGUUCGGUGGAUUAUGCGAAUUUAGGUCUAGUAGGUGAGCAUGUUGGUUAUUAUAUUGGUGGAUAAAUAUAUUUUUAAUAAACUUGGAAAAGUUUGGAUUUAGUUAGGCGAUUGUGAUCUUGAACCAAGUUUUAUGGUGGAUUAUGAGAAUUUUGAUGGAUUAGUUAGUUGAUUGUAACCUUGAGGAGAUAGUCAAAGAUGUUCGGUGUAUUAAUUAAUCUUGGACAAUUUGCAUUUAGUUAGGUGAUUGUGAUAUUGAACAAAAUUUCUUCGUGAUUUAUGAGAUCUUAGUUGUGUUUAUUUAGAUGAUUGUGUUUUGAGAAGAUAGUCAAAGAUGUUUGGUGGAUUAUGAGAUUUUAGGUCUAAUAGAUGCGCAUGGUGAUUGUUAUAUUGGUGGAUAAAUGAAUCUUGAAUAAAUUUGGAUUUAGGUGGAUUUAGUUAGGUGAUUGAGUCUUGAAAAGAUAGUCAAAAUGUUCGGUGGAUUGUGAGAUUUUAGGUAUGGUAAAUGAGCAAGGUGAUUAUUAUAUUAGUAGAUAAACAAAUAUUUAUUUUAUUUUGGAUCAAUUUGGAUUUAAGUAGGGAUUGUGAUCUUUUAACCUAAUUUUACAAUGGAUUAUGAGGUUUUGGUUGGAUUUAGUUAGCUGCUUGUGAUCUUGACAAGGUAGUUAAAGAUGUUCGAUGGAUUAAUAUGUCUAGUAAGCGAGCAUGGUGGCUAUUACAUUGGUGGAUAAAUGGAUCUUUAAUAAGCUUGAAGAUAUUUGAAUUUAGUUAGGCGAUUGUGAUCUUGAACCAAAUUUUAUGGUGGAUUAAUUGCGAUUUUGAGGAGAUAGUAAAAGAUGUUUGGUGGAUUAAUUAAUCUUGAAUAAUUUGGAUUUAGUUAGGUGAUUGUGAUAUUGAACCAAAUUUCUCGGUGAUUUAUGAGAUUUUAGUUGGAUUUAGUUAGGUGGUUGUGUCUUCAAAAGAUAGUCAUGGACGUUCGGUGAUUAUGAUAUUUUAGGUCUAGUAGACGAGCAUGAUAAUUAUUAUAUUGGUGGAUAAACAGAUAUUUAAUAUAGUUUGGAACAAUUUGGAUUUAGUAUGGUGAUUGUGAUUUUUAACCAAAUUUUAGGGUGGAUUAUGAGGUUUUGAUUAGAUUUAGUUAGGUGAUUGGGAUCUUGACGUGCUAGUAAAAGAUGUUCGGUAGAUUAUGUGAAUUUAGGUCUAAUAGGUGAGCAUCUUGAUUAUUAUAUUGGUGGAUAAAUACAUUUUUUAUAAACUCGGAAAAAUUUGGAUUUAGUUAGGCAAUUGUGAUCUUGAACCAAUUUUAUGGUGGAUUAUGAGAUUUUUGAUGGAUUAGUUAAUUGAUUGUGAUCUUGAGAAGAUAGUCAAAGAUAUUCGAUGUAUUAAUUAACUUGAACAAUUUGGAUUUAGUUAGGUGAUUGUGAUAUUGAACUAAAUUUCUCUGUGAUCUAUGAGAUUUUAGUUGGAUUUAGUUAGGUGAUUGUGUCUUCCGAAGAUAAUCAAAGUUGUUUGAUGGGUUAUGAGAUUAUAGGUCUAAUAAAUGAGCAUGGUGAUAUUAUAUUGGUGGAUAAACAAAUAUUUAAUUAGUUUGAAACAAUUUGGAUUUAGUUCGGUGAUGAUGAUCUUUUAACCUAAUUUUAUGGUGGAUUAUAAGGUUUUGGUUGGAUUUAGUUAGAUGAUUGUGAUUUUGAUGAGCUAAUAAAAGAUGUUCGGUGGAUUAUGUGAAUUUAGGUCUAGCAGGAGAGCAUGUUGAUUAUUAUAUUGGUGGGUAGAAGUAAGGGCCACACGAGUGACUCAAGGCGAUGAUGCCACUACUGAAAAUAACUGGUAAACACGGCAAGAGAGGCGGAGAGACUGGGGGUGAUGGCAGUAGAUGGACUUUGAUCCAGCAUCCUACCUACCAGUGCACUUUCCGUUCCCCGCUGAUCCGGCUUGGUGUCCUUGUCUUGUUUCCGGAUUUGUGUCACGCACUUGAUUAAGCAUCCGACGUUCUCCUAAUGUGUGCCCUUGGCCUUGACGAUAGGUAGCGCCGUGUUCUCGGGCGCGUCCCGUGGGUAAAAUUCAGGUAUGCGUCGAUUGUCUGAGCUCUUGCUCGCCAUUAUGCUGCCUAGAAAGGGAACAUGGGAUGUGGGAUCAAGACAGCACACAUAGCAACCCGCCACCAGGCAACGGACGCCCAUCCGGACUUACAGGGAGCGGAGGUGGACACAAAGGUGGAUGUUGAGCUCCAUAGUAGUCUCAACAGUGUGCUCAUCAGUAAGAGCAGCACGAGCAAGAAGAUCCUGGAUAUACUCCUCUUAGGAAAUAAAGAAGCCAUUAGAGGUAGAAGAAACCUCAAUCUCAAGGAAGUAGUGACUUAAGUAAACAUGGAGCAAUUUGGAUUUACUUAGGCGAUUGUGAUCUUGAACAAAUUUUAUGGUGCAUUAUGAGAUUUUUCAAUGGAUUUAGUCGAUUGUGAUCUUGAGGAGAUAGUCAAAGAUGUUCGGUAUAUUAAUUAAUCUUGAAGAAUAUGGAUUUAGUUAGGUGAUUGUGUCUUGAGAUGAUAAUCAAAGAUGUUUCGUGGUUCAUGAGAUUUUAGGUCUAGUAGAUGAGCAUGGUGAUUAUUAUAUAGUUAGGUGAAUGUGAUUUUGAUGAGCUAGUAAAAGGAAGUAGUGACUUUAGUAAACAUGGAGCAAUUUGGAUUUACUUAGGCGAUUGUGAUCUUGAACAAAUUUUAUGGUGCAUUAUGAGAUUUUUCAAUGGAUUUAGUCGAUUGUGAUCUUGAGGAGAUAGUCAAAGAUGUUCAGUGUAUUAAUUAAUCUUGAAGAAUAUGGAUUUAGUUAGGUGAUUGUGUCUUGAGAUGAUAAUCAAAGAUGUUUCAUGGUUCAUGAGAUUUUAGGUCUAGUAGAUGAGCAUGGUGAUUAUUAUAUAGUUAGGUGAAUGUGAUUUUGAUGAGCUAGUAAAAGAUGCUCGGUGAAUUAUUGUGAAUUUAGGUCUAGUAGGUGAGCAUGUUGAUUAUUAUAUCGAUGGAUAAAUUUAAUCUUUAAUAAAUUUAAAACAAUUUGGAUUUAGUUAGACGAUUGUGACCUUGAACCAAAUUUCAUGGUGGAUUAUGAGAUUUUUGAUGGAUUAAUUAGUUGAUUGUGAUCUUCAAGAGAUAGUCAAAGAUGUUUUGUGGAUUAAUUAAUCUUGAACAACUUGGAUUUAGUGAAGUGGUUGCGAUACUGAACCGAAUUUCACGCUGGAUUAUGAGAUUGUAGGUGGAUUUAGUUAGGUGAUUGUGUCUUGAGAAUAUUGUCAUAGAUGUUUGCUAGUCUAUGAGAUUUUAGGUUUAGUAGAUGGGAAUGGUGAUUAUUAUAUUGGUAGAUAAACAAAUCUUUAUUUUAGUUUGGAACAAUUUUGACUCAGUUAGGUGAUUGUUAUGUUUAAACCAAAUUUACAGUGGAUUUUGAGAUUUUUUUGGAUUUAGUUAGGCGAUUGUGAUGUAGUACAAAUUUCAUGGUGGAGAUUUGCAAUGGAUUUAGUUGAUUGUGAUCUUGAGAAGAUAGUCAGAGAUGUUCGGUGGAUAAAUUAAUCUUGAACAAUUUGAAUAUAUUUAGGUGAUUGUGAUAUUGAACCAAAUUUCUCUUAUGAUUUAUGGGAUUUUAGUUGGAUUUAAUUAGGUGAUUGUGUCUUGAGAUGAUAAUCAAAUAUGUUUGGUGGAUUAUGAGAUUUUAGGUCUUGUGGAUGAGCAUGGUGAUUGCUAUAUUGGUGGAUAAGCAUAUAUUUAAUUUAGUUUGGAGCAAUUUGGAUUUAGUCAGGUGAUUGGGUUCUUGACGAGCUAGUAAAAGAUGUUCGGUGGAUUAUGCGAAUUUAGGUCUAGUAGGUGAGCAUGUUGGUUAUUAUAUUGGUGGAUAAAUAUUUUUUUAAUAAACUUGGAAAAGUUUGGAUUUAGUUAGGCGAUUGUGAUCUUGAACCAAAUUUUAUGGUGGAUUAUGAGAAUUUUGAUGGAUUAGUUAGUUGAUUGUAAUCUUGAGGAGAUAGUCAAAGAUGUUCGGUGUAUUAAUUAAUCUUGGACAAUUUGCAUUUAGUUAGGUGAUUGUGAUAUUGUACAAAAUUUCUUCGUGAUUUAUGAGAUUUUAGUUGUGUUUAUUUAGAUGAUUGUGUUUUGAGAAGAUAGUCAAAGAUGUUUGGUGGAUUAUGAGAUUUUAGGUCUAAUAGAUGCGCAUGGUGAUUGUUAUAUUGGUGGAUAAAUGAAUCUUUAAUAAAUUUGGAAUAAUUUGGAUUUAGUUAUCCGACUGUGAUCUUGAAUCAAAUUUUAUGGUGGAUUAUGAGAUACUCCACGCAUCUCCUGCGCCCCGCAACCCUCUCCUUCGCAGCACAGCAGGAGCAGGAGCAAGGAUGCCGAGGCGGUUCAGGGAGCUUUGGAUGGUGGUCUUGAUCUUCCGCACAGUGACAAGAGAUUUGCUGGCUUCAAGAAGGAUAAGCAGCUGGGCGCUGAGGUUCACCUCAAAUACAUCUAUGAAGGUCAUGUUGCUGACUACAUGAAGUCAAUAGCUGAUGAGGAACCUAAGAAGUACCAAUCUCACUUCAGUGAGUACAUCAAGAAGAACUGAAGAAGAUCAAGGGUUACAGAUGCCAGUGCCACAAGGCUUGCCUAACAAAGGUUCCCAGAAAAGGAAUGGUUUGACAAAAAAAGGCUUUGCUCUCCAGGUGCAGAACACUUUCCCACUCCCCAUCGAUGACGAUCUUCCUGGUAGCUCUUUUAGUACCACAGAAGUUAUUCCGAAAGGUCAUUAAGCUUAUUCUAAUGCCAACUUCUGUAGAGGUGCUUGUCUUAUUACAGUAUGUUCCUUUUGACAAAUCAACAGAAGUGUACAAAAUUCAUUUAAAUGGGUUCGCAAGGUAUUUUCAUUAGCAAUGCCACAAGGCAUCAGAAAGCACAAGUAGCGAGAUUGUGUUAAAUUAAUCUGCUAGAGUAUGGUGAUAACAGAGGGGCACUGUUUUUGAAAAUUGUUUUUUCUGUUCCAAUUGUAUAGGGCCCUCCGCAAGGAUAUUGAUUCAUCAGGUGUAGAUGUUUAGUUGGACAGAUAUUGUUCGUCAGUUUCUUAGUGCGUGCCUAGCUGUUUCCCCUUUUUACAUUGCUUCUUUUCUGUAGGAUUUCUUGAAACAUACUCCCUCCGUUCCAAAAUAGAUGACCCAACUUUGAACUAACUUUGUACUAAAGUUAGUACAAAGUUGAGUCGUCUAUUUUGGAAUGGAGGGAGUAAUAACUUGCUUCCACAAUUGUAGAAUGAUCAUGGUUUCUUUGCAUUCCUGUACUUUCAUACGAUUAACAAUUUCAUGGCUAUCCUAGGUAACAAACAGACAUCAUUGGCAUUAGCCAAUGCAUUUGCGUUAAAUGCCCUGCUGGCCGAGUGCAACUUCAUUCUUCUUUAGUGGGUAUUUGUAUUUUCCAAAAAGAAGUUGGUGCACCUCAUAGUUGUUUUGUAGCCUGACUAUUAUGCCUAGAUUUUGCUCUAUGAUACAGAACUAAGUAGUUAACUAUGUCAGUUGGCUAUCUGUGUUGCUUCAUAGUUAUGGAAAAACAGGGUAGAGCUCUAAUGACUACUCUCCUCAAUCAAUCUACAAGAGCCAAGAUUAUCUUUUAAGUAGAUUCCAUAUCUUUGAACAACAGAUUCUGAUUCUUUUACAGAGAUGUUUUAAUGCAUUUUUUAUCAGUUGCGCUACUACAUUUUACUAAUGAUUUGAGCUGCCUUAUUCCCACAUAGCGACUAUCUAAUUUUUAACAUCAAGGACGGGGCGUCGACCCGUUGGCUGGGCAGCUGGGGUAGCUGCCAGCCCACCCGAGUUCGAGCCCCGGCUUUGACGCGUGGUGCUCGCGGAGUUUCUCCUAUAAAAAAAUGCCAACGAGGGUUAGCCCUUGGGUUGGUCUUACUUUAAAAAAAAAUUUAUUGACAUCCGCUCAAAUAAAUAUACAAGAGUUGUAUGAAAGGGAACCACUCAUCUUUUUAACAAGAAAUAUGUUUAGCGUCAUAACAAUGUUCAGGACGCACAUGCAUGCCAGAACACUGAGGGGGGUGGUCUUACAAAUGACAACUACUUACAUGUUAGUAAUUUCUUCUGUUUGACAUAUUCCACGACCCUUCUUGCUAGCUCCAGUCAUUCAAUUUAUCAUUAUAUCCACCAUAUUUUUAUGCUCGGCAUUCCUAAUUUGCCGGUCACAAGAAACUGUAGUAUAAUGUCAGGUCGCACAUUCUUUUUGUUUCAUGGUUCAGUACAGGUCUCAUGGUGAGCAGCAGCUCUAGGUUGCAGUAUAAUGUCAACUGAUUGCAACAUCCUGAGUUAUUUUAUCGAUGUUUUUUAUCUGGAAACUUGAAUCUCUUUCAACUUUCAGUACACAUAUAUUCUGAUCUGUGCAUAAGGAAACUCACAAGUUUGUGUCCAUCUUUUUGGUUGUAAUCAUAUGGCUUGCAUAUUUUAUCGGACUGAUGAGCCACAAAGAUCGGACUGAUCAUAUUUGGUACAGAAGAUCAAAAGAAGCAUUUAUAUCAUCUUUUUGUGUGCUUUAUCUGUAGAAAAGUACCAUGGGUUGAUGGUGUUGGAUCCAAUUACUAUUUGAUGUAAUUGACUGCUAUUCCUAAGAACUGCUCCUGGACACAGUGCUCUAUGUUAUCAUGUCUUGCAUUCUGUUGUGUCGCCUAUAUAGUUACUCGGAUCUUACAUUUCGAUUUUUGUAUUUUUAUCGGUGCAAGUGUUGUCUUCCUACUAUCAAACAACAGGGAUUUCUUUAAAUUAAAUUGUACAUGUUGUCGAAAAUUAUCCUGUGUAUGUCUAUAUUCAUGCCUACUAUAAAACAAACAUUCUUCAUUGCCUAAGCCUUUUCCUUCUGUUAAUGAUGAUAAUGCAGCUCUCCAUCUUAUUAAUUCCUUCUUCAUUCACUUGAAAUAUUGCCUAAUUUUUUUCUGUGUGUAUUUGGUUUAGAACCCUGACUUAUGGUCAAACUGAAGGUGCUUAGCAUGGUCUAGUAUGCAUUUCUCAGUUUCUCUUGAUUUCUGUUUUUGUUUCAUUUCAUUUUAAGCCGAUUGUAUUUGCAUACAUAUUGGAGAGGUUAUUUCUCGUGUGAAGUUACUAUUUUUUUCCAGUUCUGAAGCACCUUCCUCAACUUUUGAUGGUCUACUUUACAAGAGAAAAUAUUUCUCUGUUUGUAUGGUGCAGGUUUCUUUAUGGUCUACUUUACAAGAGAAAACAUUUCUCUGGAAGGAGCUGCUGACAAGGCUUAACAACAAACUGGACGGAGUUCUUCACAUGGCAAACAUAGAUGAAGGAACGAUGUAUGCCUUCACCUUCAGACGCAAGGCAAAGUGCCUCCGCCUCUGUCUAACUGCUCACUCCCUAUGAGGACACCAUCGUAAACCUUCGGUGUCACCUAUAUAUAGCUUGUGUACCAGACUUCAUGUUUAUAAUGCUCUUAUAUCCAAAAACAAAAUUCCCACCACCUCUGCGGCUGGCGCACGAUUUUUUUUGGUGCAGGUAUUGCGAGCUAAUCCUACCCCCUCCCCACAGUUUCUGGAAAACGUGGGAUCCAUUACCAGCAGUAUCAAGAUCGGGGGCGAGGGCCGAGCAGUUUCGGCGGCGAGCGGGCGAUUUCGCGUUGGGCGCCCUCGUCGGCAUUGGCUUUCAGCCAUGGAGGAAUCGACGCCUCAGCUUCACGAUGAAACGUUACAGCGUCUCCACCGCCACCGCUUCUGCCCUGAGGUUAUUUGGCGGUGGGCAGCAGCGUGUGAAAUCUACUGCAGAGGAGUUGGGCAUUUUCCUACCGGUGGAAGACCUGCAUCCAGCCCCACAAGUCCUUUACUAGCCCUCCUUGCCGCAGUUCCAUCCUCUACCGUCAGGCCAGGCUGCAUUUUGGCAUGGUUUUUUACUCCAACCGACUCAAGUCUGCUCAGAACACAAACCACAUGAUGUGUCGAGGUAUCCUUGUCUUCUGGCUCCUUGCGAUGCCACUGGUGUACGGCGACGGAGCCUUGGCUGGUGACUGCUGCCACGGGACCUUGAAACUGGACCUAAGCAGUGUGUUCCAGGAUGAGCGCAGUGGCCCUAAAGCCGGGUGCAGUCUGUGAAUGAAGAUAUGUCAAAUGACACUACAUCUCUUGAAGCUAUCCGAUAAAUGGAGAACGUAGGCCAUAGCCAAAACUGAAGUUAGUGACCUCAAUUGCUGUCACAUGAAGAAACUUAGAGCAGGAAAAUGUAUAUGUAAGAAUCAACUUGGGGUGGCAAACAUACCAGCCGGAAACAUUUUAAGGGCUGGUUCGUUGCAGCAAGGUAUGCAACAUUAUAAUGCUAAGCUACUCACUUGGACAAUGAGAUCAUGAAUUCAACUCUUAUGAAAAUUGAAGAACUGACAGAUUCUUGUACAAUCUCGAUGCGGAUACAUUUAACAUGAGAGAUGAAACAACUCUGAAUCCAAAGAGCAAUGGAAGUCAAAAUCAGCAACUAACUGUGGCCUGUAGCUUGUUCACCGCCAUCAGACAAUCUGAAGCCAGAAUCAUCACUCGUCGAUAGCCUUCCGACACAGCAAAAUGCAGACCUUUGGUCAAAGCCGCUAUUGCUUCAGCCAGUUCUUGGAUGAUGACCCCUUGAAGAGUCUGAACAACGCGAGCCAGGACAUCACACCCCCACGCCCAUCAUUUGAUCAUUCAAUGAAGUACUGCAGCAUCAGCAUUCUUGGCACUAUCGAUGAUGGCUCACACCUGGAGGUAGACACCGGGGAAACAAGACGCUGUUGGAUCAUAUCAAUAUAAGCCUCCUGAUCUUAUGCACAACCCUUUGUAGUACAGGACCACCUUUGCUUUUUCGAGCCUCAUUGGGUGCGUCCCCUGGGAAUUGAUAUGUAACAACAAUAGUAAUGGAUGUUUCUUUUAUUUGACUA